GAAGGCCCACGUAUAUAAUGCACCGAGGCGAGAGUCUAAAGAGGCCCCACCAGACUAUGUCCAAGUCGAAGUCGGGAUCGCCAGGUGUGUCAGAGCGCCUCAAACUGGGGGAAUCCUACCGGCAGAGCUGAGCACCACUGUUGUUACUUUCACGUCACUGGGCGACUCAAGUCUGAUGAAAGAACUUAUGGAAAGUAAUAAAAGGGUCAAGAAGAAGGGGAUCUACCUACUGAUUCCUGUCUACCUUGAGCGGUGCUCCAUCAUUUUAUCUUGUCACUUUCCAAAUAUCUUUUGUAUUGUUGCUCAAUCUUUCACUUGUGACUAUCUUAAUUUCCUUCUUAUGAUUGUGACGUCAGUAAUAAUAUAAAUUAAUAUAUAAAA